AGAUUGAACGCUGGCGGAAUGCUUUACACAUGCAAGUCGAGCGGCAGCGCGGGGGCAACCCUGGCGGCGAGCGGCGAACGGGUGAGUAAUACAUCGGAACAUGUCCAGUCGUGGGGGAUAGCCCGGCGAAAGCCGGAUUAAUACCGCAUGAGCUCGAGAGAGGAAAGCGGGGGACCUGCAAGGGCCACGCGCGAUUGGAUGAGCCGAUGUCGGAUUAGCUUGUUGGCGGGGUAAAGGCCCACCAAGGCGACGAUCCGUAGCUGGUCUGAGAGGAUGAUCAGCCACACUGGAACUGAGACACGGUCCAGACUCCUACGGGAGCAGCAGUGGGAAUAUUGGACAAGUGGGCGCAAGCCUGAUCCAGCAAUGCCGCGUGUGUGAAGAA
rnacentral:rRNA from 1 species